GCCUUCGUGGUGUAGUGGUCAGCACACUGAGUGCAUAUUCCAGAGGUCCGUGGUUCGAGUCCCGGCAAAGGCG
rnacentral:tRNA from 1 species